GACGAACGCUGGCGGCGUGCUUAACACAUGCAAGUCGAGCGGUAAGGCCCUUUCGGGGGUACGACGAGCGGCGAACGGGUGAGUAACACGUGGGUGACCUGCCCUUAGCUCUGGGAGUAAGCCUGGGAAACUGGGUCUAAUACCGGAUAUGACUCCAUGACGCAUGUUGUGGGGUGGAAAGCCUUGUGCGGCUAGGGAUGGGCCCGCGGCCUAUCAGCUUGUUGGUGGGGUGAUGGCCUACCAAGGCGACGACGGGUAGCCGGCCUGA
rnacentral:rRNA from 1 species